GAUGAACGCUGGCGGCGUGCCUAAUACAUGCAAGUCGAGCGAACAGACGAGGAGCUUGCUCCUCUGACGUUAGCGGCGGACGGGUGAGUAACACGUGGAUAACCUACCUAUAAGACUGGGAUAACUUCGGGAAACCGGAGCUAAUACCGGAUAAUAUAUUGAACCGCAUGGUUCAAUAGUGAAAGACGGUUUUGCUGUCACUUAUAGAUGGAUCCGCGCCGCAUUAGCUAGUUGGUAAGGUAACGGCUUACCAAGGCAACGAUGCGUAGCCGACCUGAGAGGGUAAUCGGCCACACUGGAACUGAGACACGGUCCAGACUCCUACGGGAGGCAGCAGUAGGGAAUCUUCCGCAAUGGGCGAAAGCCUGACGGAGCAACGCCGCGUGAGUGAUGAAGGUCUUCGGAUCGUAAAACUCUGUUAUUAGGGAUGAACAAAUGUGUAAGUAACUAUGCACGUCUUGACGGUACCUAAUCAGAAAGCCACGGCUAACUACGUG
rnacentral:rRNA from 1 species